GAAGAGAGAUCUACUUCAUAUUCAUCCGAUGAAUCACGAGCUUUGAUACAUUUACACGAGGAGGAUGAUAUAAAAAAACAACAGGGAUAUGCAGUCGUAUUUUGUGAUGAAUGUGAUCAAUAAAAGAUAAUUGUAUUUGUGAAUCUUUAAAUAAUAUUAAGUACUUUUUAAGCAUAGAUACGAAAAUGUUUCUGACUGGUGUAAUCUACAUAUAUAUCAUGGCUGAGUGCAUGUGUACUGAGUUUGAAGGAUACAGUUAUGAUGGCUGGUACAACAAUUUGAACAACCCGGACUGGGGAGGGGCAGACACACGUCUCCAAAGAAAGAGUAAAGCCGCGUACAGAGAUGGUGUGUAUAUGCCGUCCGGCCAAACCCGUCCAAAUCCGUUUGACAUAAGCAAAGCCGUUCACCAGGGUCCGACAGGAUUCCC